rnacentral:rRNA from 1 species
GACGAACCGUGCGAACGUUAUUCGGAAUCACUGGGCUUAAAGCGCGUGUAGGCGGGCCGCCACGUCGGCUGCUGAAAUCCCCCGGCUCAACCGGGGAAGUGGCACCGAUACGAGCGGCCUCGAGGGGGGUAGGGGGGUCUGGAACUUCCGGUGGAGCGGUGAAAUGCGUUGAGAUCGGAAGGAACGCCCGUGGCGAAAGCGAGGUCCUGGACGCCUACUGACGCUGAGACGCGAAAGCCAGGGGAGCGAACGGG